UACAGAGGUCCCGAGCGUUAGGCGGAAUCACUGGGCUUAAAGCGUGUGUAGGUGGAUCGUUAAGUACCUUGUGAAAUCCCACGGCUUAACCGUGGAACUGCUUGGUAUACUGGCGGUCUUGAGCCAGCUAGGGGCUACCGGAACAAAUGGUGGAGUGGUGAGAUGCGUAGAUAUCAUUUGGAACGCCAAUGGUGAAAACAGGUAGCUGGGGCUGUGCUGACACUGAGACACGAAAGCCAGGGGAGCAAACGGG
rnacentral:rRNA from 1 species